rnacentral:rRNA from 1 species
AUUGAACGCUGGCGGCAGGCCUAACACAUGCGAGUCGAACGGUAACAGGAAACAGCUUGCUGUUUCGCUGACGAGUGGCGGACGGGUGAGUAAUGUCUGGGAAACUGCCUGAUGGAGGGGGAUAACUACUGGAAACGGUAGCUAAUACCGCAUAACGUCGCAAGACCAAAGAGGGGAACCUUCGGGCCUCUUGCCAUCGGAUGUGCCCAGAUGGGAUUAGCUAGUAGGUGGGGUAACGGCUCACCUAGGCGACGAUCCCUAGCUGGUCUGAGAGGAUGACCAGCCACACUGGAACUGAGACACGGUCCAGACUCCUACGGGAGGCAGCAGUGGGGAAUAUUGCACAAUGGGCGCAAGCCUGAUGCAGCCAUGCCGCGUGUAUGAAGAAGGCCUUCGGGUUGUAAAGUACUUUCAGCGGGGAUGAAGGGAGUAAAGUUAAUACCUUUGCUCAUUGACGUUACCCGCAGAAGAAGCACCGGCUAACUCCGUG